GAUGAACGCUGGCGGCGUGCCUAAUACAUGCCAGUAGAACGCUGAAGGAGGAGCUUGCUCUUCUGGAUGAGUUGCGAACGGGUGAGUAACGCGUAGGUAACCUGCCUGGUAGCGGGGGAUAACUAUUGGAAACGAUAGCUAAUACCGCAUGACAACAGUUAUUGCAUGAUAACUGUUUAAAAGGGGCAACUGCUCCACUACCAGAUGGACCUGCGUUGUAUUAGCUAGUUGGUGAGGUAACGGCUCACCAAGGCGACGAUACAUAGCCGACCUGAGAGGGUGAUCGGCCACACUGGGACUGAGACACGGCCCAGACUCCUACGGGAGGCAGCAGUAGGGAAUCUUCGGCAAUGGACGGAAGUCUGACCGAGCAACGCCGCGUGAGUGAAGAAGGUUUUCGGAUCGUAAAGCUCUGUUGUAAGAGAAGAACGAGUGUGAGAGUGGAAAGUUCACACUGUGACGGUAUCUUACCAGAAAGGGACGGCUAACUACGUG
rnacentral:rRNA from 1 species